rnacentral:misc_RNA from 1 species
GCUUCUUAAAUGUCUUCCCAUCUAUUUAUUCAGAAAUAUAACACAAAAUCGAUUAUCAUAUAUCAUACAUAUAUAUAUAUGCUUGGAGCCUGUUUGGAACUAACAAGGAGCAGGGGAAGCAGGGCUUUUUAGGUUGCAAAAGACUAGGUAAGCCCAAAAUGCUUAAUCAAGCUUCACAUAUAACUACAUAUGAUGGAAGUUUUUAUUUGAUUGGAUCAAAAAACUCCAAACCAAAAAAUGUACAGCUUCAAAACCAAUUUAACUAUUAUUGCCCAUCACUUCGUCGGCAACUAAAAGUAACAUGAAACCUUAAAGCCAAAAAAAGUUAACUAUUCAGCAUUCUGAUGAACAAACACCUUUACUCAAAGUGCAAAACAACCAUUUUAGCCUAGUCGUGAAUCAAAAGCAAAUAAAUAAACAAAUAAAUAAAU